rnacentral:rRNA from 1 species
UACGUAGGGCGCAAGCGUUAUCCGGAAUUAUUGGGCGUAAAGAGCUCGUAGGCGGUUUGUCGCGUCUGCCGUGAAAGUCCGGGGCUCAACUCCGGAUCUGCGGUGGGUACGGGCAGACUAGAGUGCAGUAGGGGAGACUGGAAUUCCUGGUGUAGCGGUGAAAUGCGCAGAUAUCAGGAGGAACACCGAUGGCGAAGGCAGGUCUCUGGGCUGUAACUGACGCUGAGGCGCGACAGCGUGGGGAGCAAACAGG